rnacentral:tRNA from 1 species
GCCUGGGUGGCUCAGUGGGUUGAGUGUCUGACUUUGGCUUAGGUCAUGAUCUCACAGUUCGUGAGUUUGAGCCCCACGUCAGGCU